rnacentral:tRNA from 1 species
UGCUAAGUGACCGAAUAAGGUGUAAGUCUUUUAAACUUAUUAUAGCCUAUACUCUUAGCA